GCCCCCAUCGUCUAGUGGCCAAGGACGCCGCCCCCUCAGGGCGGAAACGGAGAUUCGAAUUCUUCUGGGGGCACCA
rnacentral:tRNA from 1 species